CGGGAACACCGGCGGCCCGAGUGGUGAUCGUGAUUAUUGGGUCUAAAGGGUCCGUAGCCGGUUUGGUCAGUCCUCCGGGAAAUCUGAUAGCUCAACUAUUAGGGCUUUCGGGGGAUACUGCCAGACUUGGAACCGGGAGAGGUAAGAGGUACUACAGGGGUAGGAGUGAAAUCUUGUAAUCCCUGUGGGACCACCUGUGGCGAAGGCGUCUUACCAGAACGGGUUCGACGGUGAGGGACGAAAGCUGGGGGCACGAACCGGAUUAGAUACCCGGGUAGUCCCAGCCGUAACGAUGCUCGCUAGGUGUCAGGCAUGGCGCGACCGUGUCUGGUGCCGCAGGGAAGCCGUGAAGCGAGCCACCUGGGAAGUACGGCCGCGAGGCUGAAACUUAAAGGAAUUGGCGGGGGAGCACAACAACGGGUGGAGCCUGCGGUUUAAUUGGACUCAACGCCGGACAACUCACCGGGGGCGACAGCAAUAUGUAGGCCAAGCUGAAGACUUUGCCUGAAUCGCUGAGAAGAGGUGCAUGG
rnacentral:rRNA from 1 species